rnacentral:lncRNA from 1 species
UUUCUCCCCGCACGUUUUUCUAUUCUUACCAAAAUUAUCACCCUUAUUUAUUAGAUAUGAAGAGGAUCUAUAAUGAAGAUGCAAAAUAGUUACUGGAAAUUAUGAAUACAGGUUUUAUUGAUGAUAACCUCGAUGAAAAUUGUAGCGGGCUCAGUACACAUUUAAGUUUAAUAUUUUUUUGCCUUAUACAAGACUACAAGUAGAUCCGGACAUUACUUAUUUCCCCAUAUACCCAGAGCAUGAUGACUUGGACUUGAACUAAACACUAAAAAAGGUGAAUUCAAAUACAGUUCUGGAUAUUGAAUCUAAUGGAUCUUUACUGUUUUAUUAUAUUUACUAUUUAGAAUGAGUAAUUAAUAAUUAUUUAUGAAAUAUGAAGAUAAUCUUUAGUGAAAAUGCAAAAAAAAAAUACAAUAAACAGCACCACUGACAAUAAAAA